rnacentral:misc_RNA from 1 species
UCGUAACAAGGUCUCCGUUGGUGAACCAGCGGAGGGAUCAUUACCGAGUUAUACAACUCAUCAACCCUGUGAACAUACCUAAACGUUGCCUCGGCGGGAACAGACGGCCCCGUGAAAACGGGCCGCCCCCGCCAGAGGACCCCCUAACUCUGUUUCUAUAAUGUUUCUUCUGAGUAAAACAAGCAAAUAAAUUAAAACUUUCAACAACGGAUCUCUUGGCUCUGGCAUCGAUGAAGAACGCAGCGAAAUGCGAUAAGUAAUGUGAAUUGCAGAAUUCAGUGAAUCAUCGAAUCUUUGAACGCACAUUGCGCCCGCCAGUAUUCUGGCGGGCAUGCCUGUUCGAGCGUCAUUACAACCCUCAGGCCCCCGGGCCUGGCGUUGGGGAUCGGCGGAGGCCCUCCGUGGGCACACGCCGUCCCCCAAAUACAGUGGCGGUCCCGCCGCAGCUUCCAUCGCGUAGUAGCUAACACCUCGCGACUGGAGAGCGGCGCGGCCACGCCGUAAAACCCCCAACUCUUCUGAAGUUGACCUCGAAUCAGGUAGGAAUACCCGCUGAACUUAAGCAUAUCAAUAA